GGUGGUUCAGUAGUAGAGUACUUGCCUUGCAUGCAUGAGGCCCUGAGUUCGAUUCCUCAGCACCA
rnacentral:tRNA from 1 species